AUGGCCGCGGCCAAGGCCACCGGCGUGGCCGCGGCGGCGACCUCCGCGGUGUUCCGUAGCAACCAGGAGCUCACGCGCCUGGCGCGUUCGGGACAGCUGGCCGCGGCACGCCGCCUGUUCGACGAGAUGCCGCACCGCAACACCGUCUCCUACAACGCCAUGCUCUCCGCGCUCGCGCGCCACGGCCGCCUCGCCGACGCGCGACGCCUUUUCGACGAGAUUCCCCGCCGCAAUCUCGUCUCCUGGAACGCCAUGAUCGCGGCCUGCUCUGACCAUGGCCGUGUUGCGGACGCCCGGGAGCUGUUCGACGCAAUGCCUGCCCGGGACGACUUCUCCUGGACGCUCAUGGUCUCCUGCUAUGCACGCGCGGGCGAGCUCAAGCUUGCCAGGGAGACGCUCGAUCGAAUACCUGGGAAAAAGUGCACGGCGUGCUACAAUGCCAUGAUCUCUGGAUACGCGAAGAAUGGCAGGUUUGAUGACGCGGUGGCGUUGCUGCGGGAAAUGCCAGCCCCUGACAUAGUUUCUUGGAACUCGGUGCUGGUCGGGUUGACCCGCAACGAGAAAAUAGUUCGGGCGGCCAAGUUCUUUGACGAGAUGCCGCAAAGGGACAUGGUGUCCUGGAACUUGAUGCUGGAGGGUUAUGUGCGCGCUGGAGAUCUCAAUGCGGCUGCUGGCUUAUUUGAGAGAGUUCCGUCACCUAAUGUCAUUUCUUGGGUCACCUUGCUUAAUGGUUAUUGCCGGGCAGGGAGGAUAGGUGAGGCGAGAGAAUUGUUCGACAGAAUGCCUGAACGGAAUGUGGUGUCUUGGAAUGUGAUGCUUGGUGGGUAUUUGCGGCUUUCACAAAUGGAUGAGGCUUAUAGAUUGUUUUCAGAGAUGCCAGAUAAGAACUCAAUUUCAUGGACGACAAUGAUAAGUGCAUUAGUGCGUGCUGGGAAGCUCCAAGAAGCAAAGGAUGUGCUGAACAAGAUGCCUUUUGAUAGUUUUGCAGCGAAGACUGCACUGAUGCAUGGCUAUCUGCAGAGCAAGAUGAUCGAUGACGCACGCCACAUCUUUGAUGCACUCGAGGUCCGAGAUGCGGUGUGCUGGAAUACGAUGAUAUCUGGCUAUGUCCACUGUGGAAUGCUUGACAAGGCCAUGGUGUUGUUCCAGCAAAUGCCAAACAAGGAUAUGGUUUCUUGGAACACCCUGAUUGCUGGCUAUGCCCAAGAUGGUCAAAUGCGCAAGGCAGUAGGUAUAUUCAGAAAGAUGAAUCAGAGGAAUGUAGUAUCGUGGAAUUCAGUUAUCUCCGGGUUUGUUCAGAAUGGGCUCUGUUUGGAAGCACUCCAAUAUUUCCUGCUCAUGAGAAGGGAUGCAAAGAUGGCUGACUGGUCUACAUAUGCGUGUUGUCUCAGCGCAUGCGCGGACUUGGCUGCUUUGCAAGUCAGGAGGCAAUUCCACUGUCUUCUUGUCAGGAGUGGGUAUAUCAGUGAUUCCUUUGCUGGAAAUGCCCUGAUUUCAGCAUAUGCCAAGUGUGGGCGGAUCUUAGAAGCAAGACAAGUAUUUGACGAGAUGGCAGGUCAGGAUAUUGUUUCAUGGAAUGCGCUCAUUGAUGGCUAUGCUUCUAAUGGCCGUGGGACUGAGGCGAUCUCAGUUUUCCGGGAAAUGGAAGCCAAUGGUGUCCGACCCGACGAGGUCACAUUUGUGGGCGUCUUGUCAGCCUGUAGUCAUGCGGGAUUGAUUGACGAAGGAUUGGGUUUCUUCAACUCGAUGACAAAAGAACACUCAUUACAGCCUGUGGCUGAGCACUAUGCUUGCAUGGUGGAUCUACUUGGAAGAGCUGGGAGACUGAGUGAAGCCUUUAAACUUGUUCAGGGAAUGCAGAUCCAGCCUAAUGCUGGUGUAUGGGGUGCAUUGCUUGGAGCAUGCCGGGUACACAAGAACGACGAGCUCGCGCGGUUUGCAGCUGAGAAGUUAUUUGAACUGGAACCUCGCAAGACCUCGAAUUAUGUUCUGCUGUCUAACAUCAGCGCGGAGUCAGGCAAGUGGGAUGCAGCUGAAAACAUGAGGACCUUGAUUAAAGAAAGACGAGUGCAUAAGCCACCUGGUUUAGCUGGAUCAACGUAG
rnacentral:rRNA from 1 species